GAAGGAGGAGGCAAGCGUUAUCCGGAAUUAUUGGGCGUAAAGGGUACGUAGGCGGCCGGUCAAGUCUGGGGUCAAAGGCCACAGCUCAACUGUGGGAAGGCCCUGGAAACUGACCGGCUAGAGUGAGGUAGGGGUUGCGGGAAUUCCAGGUGUAGCGGUGAAAUGCGUAGAGAUCGGGAAGAACACCUGAGGCGGAAGCGCGCAACUGGGCCUCAACUGACGCUGAGGUACGAAAGCUAGGGGAGCGAAUGGG
rnacentral:rRNA from 1 species